UAAUGACGCCUCCACAGGCUUUGAAUUUGAUUCUUCAAUCAAAUCUGAUUCUGUAUUUGUCGGUAUUUUUACCUCACGAACUUCACUAGUUCGAUUUUAGUGUAUUAGUUCUUUUCUCAAAAUUUUUUUUUCUAAAAAGACUGUCCUAUUACUGACGAACACCUUUUAUUCUUUAGUGAGAUAGAAGUAGUACCAUUUA
rnacentral:lncRNA from 1 species